rnacentral:rRNA from 1 species
AGAUUGAACGCUGGCGGCAUGCUUUACACAUGCAAGUCGAGCGGCAGCGCGGGGGCAACCCUGGCGGCGAGCGGCGAACGGGUGAGGAACACAUCGGAACGUGCCCCGGAGUGGGGAUAACGCCGCGAAAGCGGCGCUAAUACCGCAUAUGCUCUGAGGAGGAAAGGCGGGGGACCUGUGGAGGGCCUCGCGCUCGUGGGAGCGGCCGAUGUCCGAUUACGC